CGGACGGGUGAGUAACGCGUGGGUAACCUGCCUCACACUGGGGGAUAACAGUUAGAAAUAGCUGCUAAUACCGCAUAAGCGCACGGUUCCGCAUGGAACAGUGUGAAAAACUCCGGUGGUGUGAGAUGGACCCGCGUCUGAUUAGCCAGUUGGCGGGGUAACGGCCUACCAAGCCGACGAUCAGUAGCCGACCUGAGAGGGUGACCGGCCACAUUGGGACUGAGACACGGCCCAG
rnacentral:rRNA from 1 species